CAGGGCUGCGUCUGAUCUCUGGGUGCAGAGGAGUCCACCCAAGGGGACAUAGGUGCUCUGAGACAGUGUUGCCAUUGACUCAGGGUCUGGCAUCCCCUCUUCUGAGUCACAUGCCCUUGUGACAAGAGGUGGGCGCUUUCAGUCUCCUGGGGAAGAAGCCUCAGCACAAAGUCAGAGACCCUGCCCGUGUUUGUACCUGUAACAUCCACUGUGUUCCAUCAAGAAUAAAAAGAUGACCUAAAAUCUACCAGCUCCCGAGAACAUAAUAAGUGCUUCCCAGACUUCUAUCAUCGUCAUUAGUAAGUUCCACAAGCUGCCUAGGAAUCCUGGGCCCUCCUGUGAAUGAACACAGUUUGAAUCAACCUAUCAACGACCCUCAGAUACAGCAUCCAGAUACAUCAUUGCCAAGGUGACGACCGUCUCCUACAACACCUAUUCCAGGCAAUCUGAAGAAAGAAAGCGCUGGAGCACUGGGCUAGAAUCAGAAGACCCACACUCGAGCUCCAGUCUGGCUCCCAGUUCGUUGGGUGGCCUUAAUUAGGACUCUUCUUCUCUGGCCAUUAGCUGCGGACUCUCUCAAAGCAGUGCACGGCCUAGGGAGGCUGCUAAAGCCCAUCAAACUAUGGUUCUCUGUAAGUGGCCUCUGAAGGUGCCCACAGCCAUCACAUACUUGACCUAUGGUACAGGAGCCACAGUCAUUGCAGACCACAGACUCCUUAAGAGACCCCAGCUGAAUUUUCAAGUGUCUGUAGCUUCCUUCUGUCUUCCAGCUCCUGGAAAUGAGGCCCUGAGGGAGCCUGACAAGGCCUGUCCUGGGAGGUGCCAGCGGAAAGGGAAGGAGAGUCCCAGGCAGAGAACCGAUUAAAUAGCAUUUUAUCCCAAUAAUGAUGUCUCCAAGAGAACCCCUCUAAGCACCAGAUCCACUCUCCAGGGGACACUAGUUAACAGCAAGACCAGCACAGAAGAGUUGAAGGACUCCUGUUGGUGGCCACCUGUCUCUUGUUGCCAUGGGUUGGUUCCAACAUGAAGGAAUAUUUUACCACAUAAAGAACCACUGCAGAACUUAAGUUACGUGUCUUCUCUCUACUUAUGUCAGUGGAAAAUGUACAAGAAAAAAGAAAGUGUCGUUUAAAACAACUAUUUUCUAAAGCAAAUGGUGUGAGCAAGAAAGAUGACACAUGAGCCAGGACAC
rnacentral:lncRNA from 1 species